rnacentral:rRNA from 1 species
UACGAAGGGGGCUAGCGUUGUUCGGAAUCACUGGGCGUAAAGGGCGCGUAGGCGGCUCGUUUAGUCGGGUGUGAAAUCCCAAGGCUCAACCUUGGAACUGCAUUCGAUACUGGCGGGCUAGAGACCGGAAGAGGUGGGUGGAAUACCCAGUGUAGAGGUGAAAUUCGUAGAUAUUGGGUGGAACACCGGUGGCGAAGGCGGCUCACUGGUCCGGUUCUGACGCUGAGGCGCGAAAGCGUGGAGAGCAAACAGG